GACGUAGGGCGCGAGCGUUGUCCGGAUUUAUUGGGCGUAAAGAGCUCGUAGGCGGUCUGUCGCGUCGGUCGUGAAAACCUGCAGCUUAACUGUGGGCUUGCGGUCGAUACGGGCAUGACUGGAGUUCGGCAGGGGAGACUGGAAUUCCUGGUGUAGCGGUGAAAUGCGCAGAUAUCAGGAGGAACACCGGUGGCGAAGGCGGGUCUCUGGGCCGAUACUGACGCUGAGGAGCGAAAGCGUGGGGAGCGAACAGG
rnacentral:rRNA from 1 species